GACGAACGCUGGCGGCGUGCCUAAUACAUGCAAGUAGAACGCACAGUUUAUACCGUAGCUUGCUACACCAUAGACUGUGAGUUGCGAACGGGUGAGUAACGCGUAGGUAACCUGCCUGGUAGCGGGGGAUAACUAUUGGAAACGAUAGCUAAUACCGCAUAAUAUUAAUUAUUGCAUGAUAAUUAAUUGAAAGGUGCAAUUGCACCACUACCAGAUGGACCUGCGUUGUAUUAGCUAGUAGGUGAGGUAACGGCUCACCUAGGCGACGAUACAUAGCCGACCUGAGAGGGUGAUCGGCCACACUGGGACUGAGACACGGCCCAGACUCCUACGGGAGGCAGCAGUAGGGAAUCGUCGGCAAUGGACGAAAGUCUGACCGAGCAACGCCGCGUGAGUGAAGAAGGUUUUCGGAUCGUAAAGCUCUGUUGUAAGAGAAGAAAGGGUGUGAGAGUGGAAAGUUCACACUGUGACGGUAUCUUACCAGAAAGGGACGGCUAACUACGUG
rnacentral:rRNA from 1 species